rnacentral:rRNA from 1 species
CGGUGAAACUGCGAACGGCUCAUUAAAUCAGUUAUCGUUUAUUUGAUGGUACCUUACUACAUGGAUAACCGUGGUAAUUCUAGAGCUAAUACAUGCUGAAGGCCCCGACUUCGGGAGGGGUGUGUUUAUUAGAUAAAAGACCAACGCCCUCCGGGGCUCCCUGGUGAUUCAUGAUAACCCGACGGAUCGCAUGGCCUUGCGCCGGCGACGGCUCAUUCAAAUUUCUGCCCUAUCAACUUUCGAUGGUAGGAUCGGGGCCUACCAUGGUGGCAACGGGUAACGGGGAAUUAGGGUUCGAUUCCGGAGAGGGAGCCUGAGAAACGGCUACCACAUCCAAGGAAGGCAGCAGGCGCGCAAAUUACCCAAUCCCGACACGGGGAGGUAGUGACAAUAAAUACUGAUACAGGGCUCUUUUGGGUCUUGUAAUUGGAAUGAGUACAAUCCAAACCCCUUAACGAGGAACAAUUGGAGGGCAAGUCUGGUGCCAGCAGCCGCGGUAAUUCCAGCUCCAAUAGCGUAUAUUAAAGUUGUUGCAGUUAAAAAGCUCGUAGUUGAACCUUGGGCCUGGCUGGCCGGUCCGCCUCACCGCGUGCACUGGUGCGGCCGGGCCUUUCCUCCGGGGGAGCCGCAUGCCCUUCGCUGGGCGUGUCGGGGAGCCCGGACCUUUACUUUGAAAAAAUUAGAGUGUUCAAAGCAGGCCUUUGCUCGCAUACAUUAGCAUGGAAUAAUGGAAUAGGACGGCGGUCCUAUUGUGUUGGUCUCUAGCACCGCCGUAAUGAUUAAGAGGGACAGUCGGGGGCGUCCGUAUUCCAUGGUCAGAGGUGAAAUUCUUGGAUUCAUGGAAGACGA